rnacentral:rRNA from 1 species
GACGAACGCUGGCGGCGUGCUUAACACAUGCAAGUCGAACGGAAAGGCCCUGCUUUUGUGGGGUGCUCGAGUGGCGAACGGGUGAGUAACACGUGAGUAACCUGCCCUUGACUUUGGGAUAACUUCAGGAAACUGGGGCUAAUACCGGAUAGGAGCUCCUGCUGCAUGGUGGGGGUUGGAAAGUUUCGGCGGUUGGGGAUGGACUCGCGGCUUAUCGGCUUGUUGGUGGGGUAGUGGCUUACCAAGGCUUUGACGGGUAGCCGGCCUGGGAGGGUGAACGGGGACCUGGGGACUGAGAUACGGACCAGUCUCCAACGGGAGGCAGCAGUGGGGAAUAUUGCACAGUGGGCCGAAGCCGGAUGCAGAAACGCCGCGUGCGGGAUGACGGCCUUCGGGGUGUAAACCGCUUUCGCCUGUGACGAAGCGUGAGUGACGGUAAUGGGUAAAGAAGCACCGGCUAACUACGUG